rnacentral:ncRNA from 2 species
AGCAGCCGCGGUAAUUCCAGCUCCAAUAGCGUAUAUUAAAGUUGCUGCAGUUAAAAAGCUCGUAGUUGAAUUUCGGGACUAAUAUGUUGGUCGUGCCUCGGUACGUACUGAUAUUUUUGGUUUCUCCCUUCUGACGAACCUUGAUGUCAUUAAUUUGGUGUCUUGGGAAAUCAGGACUGUUACUUUGAAAAAAUUAGAGUGUUUAAAGCAGGCUCACGCUUGAAUACAUUAGCAUGGAAUAAUGAAAUAGGACGUUUGAUUCUAUUUUGUUGGUUUCUAGGAUCGACGUAAUGAUUAAUAGGGAUAGUUGGGGGCAUUAGUAUUCAAUUGUCAGAGGUGAAAUUCUUGGAUUUAUUGAAGACUAACUACUGCGAAAGCAUUUGCCAAGGAUGUUUUCAUUAAUCAAGAACGAAAGUUAGGGGAUCGAAGACGAUCAGAUACCGUCGUAGUCUUAACCAUAAACUAUGCCGACUAGGGAUCGGAUGAUGUUAAUUUUUUUAAUGACUCAUUCGGCGCCUUA